rnacentral:rRNA from 1 species
AAAAACAUCGCCUCUUGCUCACUUAUAAGAGGUCCAGCCUGCCCAGUGACCCAGUUCAACGGCCGCGGUAUCCUGACCGUGCAAAGGUAGCGUAAUCACUUGUCUUUUAAAUAGAGACUAGUAUGAAUGGCAUUUCGAGGGUUAUACUGUCUCCCUCCCCUAAUCAAUGAAACUAAUCUUCCCGUGAAGAAGCGGGAAUUUUCCUAUAAGACGAGAAGACCCUAUGGAGCUUUAGACAAAGUAAUAUUUACUACCACCAAACUCUUCCUCAAAGAAGAAAACUAACCUCCCCCCGUAGCAUUAUAAUUACUAGUUUUCGGUUGGGGCGACCACGGAGAAAAAAUAAACCUCCAUGUUGAACGGCACCUGCCUUAACAAAAAGCCACAACUUUAUGUAACAGCAAACUGACAUCAAUUGACCCAAUAUUUUGAUCAACGAACCAAGUUACCCUAGGGAUAACAGCGCAAUCCACUUCAAGAGUUCAUAUCGAAAAGUGGGCUUACGACCUCGAUGUUGGAUCAGGGUAUCCCAGUGGUGCAGCCGCUACUAACGGUUCGUUUGUUCAACGAUUAAAACCCUACRUGAUCUGA